GACGAACGCUGGCGGCGUGCUUAACACAUGCAAGUCGAGCGGUAAGGCCCUUUCGGGGGUACGACGAGCGGCGAACGGGUGAGUAACACGUGGGUGACCUGCCCUCAGCUCUGGGAUAAGCCUGGGAAACGUGGGUCUAAUACUGGAUAUGACUCCACGGUGCAUGUCGUGGGGUGGAAAGCCUUGUGCGGCUGAGGAUGGGCCCGCGGCCUAUCAGCUUGUUGGUGGGGUGANGGCCUACCAAGGCGACGACGGGUAGCCGGCCUGAGAGGGCGACCGGCCACACUGGGACUGAGACA
rnacentral:rRNA from 1 species